rnacentral:rRNA from 1 species
GAUGAACGCUGACAGCAUGCUUAACACAUGCAAGUCAACUUGAACUUCGGUUCGGGUGGCGGACGGGUGAGUAACGCGUAAAGAACUUGCCUCACAGAUAGGGACAACAUUGGGAAACGCAUGCUAAUACCGGAUAUUAUGAUUCUAGGGCAUCCUAGGAGUAUGAAAGCUAUAUGCGCUGUGAGAGAGCUUUGCGUCCCAUGAGCUAGUUGGAGAGGUAACGGCUCACCAAGGCGAGGAUGGGUAGCCGGCCUGAGAGGGUGAUCGGCCACAAGGGGACACGGGAGCGGCCCGUGCUCAUUAUGGAAGCAGGGGUGGAGAAUAUUGGACGACGGACCAAGUGUGUGAUGCAGGUAUUCGGAGUGUAAAAUGAAGUUUGUCGGGAUGAAAAGUAGUUAGAGUUGGGAAGAAUAAAAUGACGGUACCAACAGAAGAAGUGACGGCUAACUACGUG